AUUGAACGCUGGCGGCAGGCCUAACACAUGCAAGUCGAACGAGUGGCGGACGGGUGAGUAAUGUCUGGGAAAGUGCCCGAUGGAGGGGGAUAACUACUGGAAACGGUAGCUAAUACCGCAUACCAUCGGAUGUGCCCAGAUGGGAUUAGCUAGUAGGUGGGGUAACGGCUCACCAAGGCGACGAUCCGUAGCUGGUCUGAGAGGAUGACCAGCCACACUGGGACUGAGACCAGGGCCAGACUCCUACGGGAGGCAGAAGUGGGGAAUAUUGCACAAUGGGCGCAAACCUGAGGCAGCCAUGCCGCGUGUAUGAAGAAGGCCUUCGGGUUGUAAAGUACUUUUGGCGAGGAGGCGGUACUCGCAGAAGAAGCACCGGCUAACUUCGUGCCAGCCGCCGCGGUAAUUC
rnacentral:rRNA from 1 species